GCGCGGGCGGGCUUCGGUUCGUCAGCGGCGGACGGGUGAGUAACACGUGAGUGACCAACCCUCCAGUGGGGGAUACCCGGCGGAAACGCUGGUUAAUCCCGCAUACGUUCCCUUCGGGGAGGAAAGCGGCAACGCGCUGGUGGACGGGCUCGCGGCUGAUUAGCUAGUUGGUGAGGUAAGAGCCCACCAAGGCCACGAUCAGUAGCUGGUCUGAGAGGAUGAUCAGCCACACUGGGAUUGAGAACGGCCCAGACUCCUACGGGGGGCAGCAGUGAGGAAUCUUCGUCAAUGGGCAAGCGCCUGAACGAGCAACGCCGCGUGGAGGAUUGACGCCCUUCGGGGUGUAAACUCCUUUUCUGGGGGACGAGACAGGACGGUACCCCAGGAAGAAGUCUCGGCUAACUACGUG
rnacentral:rRNA from 1 species